GGAAACUGUCAGCUCAUCAUUCCCAGAUGUUCUAAUCAGCUCUAGUUAAAAUACUUGAACAUUUUUAACCAAAGAUUAUCAUAACUGAGGAUUACGUAGCUCUGAUGGUGAGACCAUGCCAAAGUGCGUGAUGUGUGUGUUGCAUACCAGAACGAAAAAGAGCAGCAGAUCUGAGCACUGGCACCAGCCUGUGAAAAGCUGUAUUGCACAAGGGAAAACAAAAGCAGCCCAGCUCCCUCUGCAGUGAGUGACAUCCUAUGGUGUGAUCUGAAACUCUGCUAAAGGAGAGUGCGCUUAGGAAAGGGAAAGUGAAGCUAUUGGUGAGACUCAUUGCACCAGGCUCUUAUGAAAUCAGAUAGAUUAAUAGAAUAUGGUGUUAUAAUGGUUUUGGUUUAUGAUAUGAGAGAGUUCAUGGGAGAGCUAAACAGCCUGUGCUUUAAGAAAACAUCAUCAGAUAGAAGUAUAAGAGCCUCCUGCUUCCUCUCCAACAUCGCAUGGAUUCCACGCUUGAAACAGUGAGCACCUUCUCCAUGUAAAAAACUCUGAAAAUUGCGGGUCAAAGAUCACCUCACUUCUUGCAGUCGUUGAGUAGUCUGGAAGUGCAAAAUGGCAAGAAUAGCAGUUUGUGUUUGGGAACAUACUGCUAAGGAAGAACAUGAGUGUUUGAGAAGGAUAUUCCAGAUGAAGAAGAACAACUUGCCAGUGGACUGCUGAGGCAUCUCUAGAGACUUGCAUUGGAAGGAAGAGGGAGUUUUCUGCAAGAAAUGGAAAAGUAUGUCUGAACAACUGAGGCUGGAAAUGGAGAACAUGUCUUGGAGUUCCCUGCACAAGAUUCCUGUUUCCAGUCUCACUGUGUCUGGCUGUCCUUGGAGCACUCAUGCCCGUUGCAGUGAGCAGAAGGGAGCCCUGGUUGGGUGCUGUUCUGAGCAUACAGGGCCACUGGUGUCCCUACAGCAGUAUGGCAGAGCACUGCAUCAGGUGAGUUACACACCAGUUUAGAGCCUGAGCUGGUAACAGCUUUUGUUUCCAGCUUCAAUGGUGUAAUUUGUAGUUAUCUGUGUUUUUAAAAGCAGUGCGUUUCAGUUUGAGUGACAGACAAUUUAAUACAUAUCCCACAGCGCAGCCUUCACUCCUGUGGGAAUAGGGGUAGUGCUGUCAGUUAGCAGGAGGUCAGCUUUUUCAUCUGCUACACUCUUCCUGAGUGACCUUGGACAAGCCCUUCGAUCUGUUUAUCUGUGUGGCCCUCAGUUUGUCUGGCUGUUUAGACAAGAGAGGAAGGAACUGCCCCCCCUCACAGCCCUUACUCUUUCACAGUGAGAUAAGAUGCUUCCUCAUGCAGAGAUCACCUUCUGCUGUGUUUGGAUGUAAUGGUCUGAUGUCUGCAAGCUCUAGAAACAACUUACUGUAAAUGAUUCUAAUAACAACACUAACACUGUAUACUUUUCAAUACGCCUGCAUGAGGCAACAUCUGUGUGUGUUUAGAUAAGCUGGAAGCAGCUGUAUUUGGCCUCUGCACCAGCUGCUGUGAUUGCAGUGCAGUUCUCUGCUGGUCAGUGCGCGUGCCGGUGGGUACGGCUGGGAACACAACUCCGUGUACGUUGCAAUCUCUGUAUUUAGUGCCUGCUAUUGGCACUCUCAUCUCUCUUACUUAUGAAUAAGUGGGUGAGGGAGGAGAGGGCUGGGCUGGGCUGACUCCUUCACAGAUGAAACAUAAAGAGCACAGGAGCUGAAACACAAUCUCCUCCUCCUUUCCUGCGCUGUUUCACGCACAGCCUUGCUCACAGCUGGGAGGAGGACAGCCUCACCAGCAGCCUGAGCAGGAGUGAGGAGAAGGGAAGUUUUGUGCUCUUCACACUGCAGGCGAAACAUCUUUGCAUGAACUCUGCGAAAAGGUGAGUUUCAUUUUUAUCUGUUCAUUCUUGAAAGCAAGUUAAUUUUCCAUCAUUGAGCUAGGUCUCACCCCUGGAGAGGUGGUAAAACAGUUUUCUAUCUGAGAUGUUAAAGCAAAAUAACGAGGUGCUCCAAGGACUCAAG
rnacentral:lncRNA from 1 species